CCUGCAUGUUCUUCCACACCGAGAUAUAAGCGUAUGGGCCUCAUAAUUUUCCGGGGGGCAUUUGGGAAAUUUCCUCCGAAUUUUUGUGAAAUAUAUGGUAAUGUAAUGACCUGAAUUUAACAUAUUUUGUGAUACAUUUGCCCAAAUUUUUUACAUUUCCAUGGUUUUCUAAAUUUUGGGGGGCAGUGCCCCCCCUCUUCUGUUUUUGGGGCCAGUGCUCCCCCUCUAGGUCUGUUGAGUUGUCUUAAAUUUUUGGGACAG